rnacentral:snRNA from 1 species
CUAUCCUCUCAGGCCUUUUGGCUAAGAUCAAGUGUAGUAUCUGUUC